CUUUCCCCUUUGUGCCCGUGUUUACGGUGGUUACAGUGUCGUUUUGUCCUGGUGUCGGUGUGUUGUCGGCGCUACUUAGUGGAUUUAAUGACUGUUUGCCUCUCAGGUACGAUUUCCUGUACCCUAUUGUGCCAUUGGUGGGCAUGAUUAAUAGAUCUGUGCCUGCACAUUUUCUAUUUGGCAUGAUACCUUGACGUUUGUUUUGCGUAGCGUCUGGACCAAUCAGACUGUAACCAGGAGUGAAUGACGAGAGGCGAGUGGAUCCAUUUGCGAGCUUUUAUUCAUCAAACGAGACAGAGACAUGGUCGUACAGGCAGGGUCUAACAACAGUAACAAGAGUGUCAGAGGCGAGACGAGAGAACAGUCCUUAAUAACGAGCGAUCUCUCUUCACUCUCUUCUUCACUCUCUUCACUCGUCUGCAACAUCUUCCGAUUGCUGCCCGUGUGGAGGAACCCACGGGGAGCCUGAGCCGGCACCGGGUGUGCCUGGCGAGCCCGACAGGCCCAACAUACAGAGCUGUGGCUCUCGACCACAAAGAGCCAGACAGUUCCACUUAACCCUGGAAUUCAUCUUCAUGACUCGCCUCAGUCAGUCAGUGGUUCUUGGAGAACCUAAGAAGAUGAGCUAAAACUCUUCAGGACUUCCCUAAGCGUCCGCCAGGCCUUGCGGCCUUGUCUUUCCAUUCCCCAAAGAUCACAGGACUUCAGCUGGGUCCCUCUCAGCUCUUGGUUCUUCUUCACAUUUCACAUGGGAAGAAACUCCCAGUCACCAUCGAGUCAGAACAUCUUUGGAGUUCAUCACUCUUCCGA